CAAGUUUGGCGCCUGCUUCAAGAUCCGGAGUCACUAAGCGCACGAGUCUUGCGAGCUAGAUAUUACCCACAAGGUAGCAUUUUGGAGGCUACCAUCAGUGCACAACCAUCACAGGGUCUGAUCAAAAGAAUUGGCUCGGGUUUGCAUACGCGCAUCUGGGAAGACAACUGGCUGCGACGGGACUACAAGAUGAAACCAAUAUGCCCUAUAUCUACUGAUCCCCCGCAACUUGUGUCAGAGCUAAUUGACGAAACGUCCAGGUCAUGGAACACACAGAAGCUAACUGAGCAUUUUAUUGCCCCGGAUGUGAUGGUUAUUCAGAGCAUACCACAGAGUUUCCGAGUGCAGCCCGACUUCUGGGCCUGAUAUUAUGAUAGAAGAGGAGUUUUUACGGUUAAAUCAGCCUACAGAAUGAUCAAUGGAAUCAAACAUCAGCGAGAGGAUUGGCUAGAGCACAAGCCGAGUCACUCGAACACCGAAGCUGAUAGCAAAUCCUAGUCGCAACUUUGGAAAGUGAAAAUUCCUUCAAAGCUCAAGGUUUUUGUUUGGAGACUAGCCCAGAUGUCACUACCGAUUGGGUCCCUCCGCCAUGAGCGCAAUAUGGCCACGUCCCCUGAGUGUGGCCUUUGUCAGGAGGGUUAUGACUCUUGGCGCCACUCCCUUUUUGAGUGCAGAAUGGUACGGUGUGUAUGGGCGCUCUGUGAUGAGGAAAUCGUUGAGCAUAUAAUAUCAAACAGAACUGAGGAUGCACGAUUAUGGCUCUUCUGGCUUUUUGAAUCAACGAACCAGCAUGAUCUUGCUAGGGUUCUAAUCACCAUGUGGGCCAUAUGGUGGGCGCGGAGAAGGGCGAUCCAUGAUGAUGAAUUUCAUAGUCCUUUAGCUACUAUGUGUUUUGUGAACAGGUAUCUCGAGGAUCUUCAGAUAGCCACAAAAUGA
rnacentral:rRNA from 1 species